GCCAGGUAUGGUGGUGCAUGCCUGUAAUCCCAGCUACUGGGAGGCUGAGACAGGAGAAUUGCUUGAACCUGGGAGGCAGAGUUUGCAGUGAGCCGAGACCAUGCCACUGCACCCUAGCCUGGGUGACAGAGCAAUACUCCAUCUCAG
rnacentral:SRP_RNA from 1 species